AGAACGAACGCUGGCGGCAUGCCUAACACAUGCAAGUCGAACGCUUCCGGGGCUUCGGUCGCGGAGGAGUGGCGCACGGGUGAGUAGCGCGUGGGAACCUGCCCUGUUGUGGGGGAUAACCGAGGGAAACUUCGGCUAAUACCGCAUACGCCCCGGGACUUGGUCUUCGGAUUAGGUCUGGGGGGAAAGAUUGAUCGCAGCAGGAGGGGCCCGCGUCGGAUUAGCUGGUUGGUGGGGUAACGGCUCACCAAGGCGAUGAUCCGUAGCUGGU
rnacentral:rRNA from 1 species